rnacentral:lncRNA from 1 species
UUUGGAUGUCUGGUCGAUCAAGAACAGGAGAGGGCGACCUCCCUCAUCCUCAAAACCCUAAAAUUCACUAAACCCACAAAUUGAAGGCUCAAUCCAAGUUGAAAUCAAAAUCUGAACAUGGAAUCGUGAUCACCUCGUCAAAAGGAGUCAUAAGUUUGACGCUAAACGAGCUAGGUGGAAGCUUGAGGACGAAGCGGGUCAAACAAAUCAAUAAGGAAAAGUAAGGCAUAGUUUGGAUGCGAGGAUAAACCGGCCUAUGAAUUAGCGAUGCUAUGAAUUAGCGAUUAUUGAGACAAGGUAUUAAAACGGGUCAAUAUGUUGAUCCGAACCAGGUACGCAUAUUGUGGGUUAUAGAUGAGUAUACAGUAGAUUGUGUAUAACCAAGGGGAAAGAUUUAAACUUAAAAAGUUUAAAUAUUCGAAAUAGGUUAAAAGAAUUAUGCGCAUAGAUUGGGUACUAGCCGCGUAAUUCAUAAAAUUUACAAAC